rnacentral:piRNA from 1 species
UGGAAAGAUGACCGACUGAGCAGCCCACCUG